UAAACUUUUUUUUAUUUUAAAUAUCAAGUCAACGCCAAGGCUUUCAAUGAUUGACUCUAUCUUUCUCCUUGUGGGAUCAUGUGGCUGUCUCCUUCCAUCUCAGUCAUCAAUGGUGUAAACUGUAAAGCACGAAAAUCCAAGUAAGAUAGAAAGAUCCAAGAGCAGCUUUUGGACCUCAGCAGUAGGAUUUGAUCGGGAGCUGACUUCAGUCCAGAGACACCAUGGUAGCCUUGCUAACAUCCGCAGGCCCGGAGUCUCUCUCUCUUUAUUCAGUUUGUUAUCUUUUGUACCCAAACAAACAGUUUAUAAUUUUCUUUCAGACAAUUGUAUUUAGUAAAUCUUAGAAGUUCGUGAGUAUUGUGACACUAAUCCUGGGUAGAGGAUUAUGUUAAACUUUCCGCAUUUCUAUUCAGUUUUUAUAUAAGUUAAGA